AGAACCUGAUUUCAAUAUUGUUUUUAAAUAAAUAAAUAUUUGAAAACAGCAGCAUCAGGGAAAAUCAAUAUGCACCGAGCAGAAGAUUCAGAUAAAAUUGUCUGUCUACUUUUACAGAGUGCUUAACAUUUUU
rnacentral:snoRNA from 1 species